CAAAGGAGAGCCGGAAAGGAUAGCAACUCAGGAUGAGGGUUCAGGAGCGUCAUGAUGACGAAGAACCAGGGAAAUGCCAGGAGGCAACGUCAGGAGACGUUUUAAAAGGACAAGGAACUACACGGAAGUUGUUUGCAAUGGAAAGACAGGGCGUCGAGUGCAAACAGGGAUUGUGUGACCUAUGAAGGGUCCAGAGACAAGAAAAAGGCGACAGGUUAACCUGCCGCCUUUUUUCUUUGCUUGCUU
rfam:Buttiauxella agrestis ATCC 33320 GBAG.assembly.074, whole genome shotgun sequence.